AUGAGAAGGGAUGGAGGAAUGAAUGAAAAGAGUAAAUUCAGUCCCAAAGCUGAAACGGUGAGAAUUGAGAACAAUAGAAGUAGCAAAAUCAUGGGCUAGGGCACCAGAAUAUGUGUAACUUCAUCGUUCUCUCUUUAAUGAAAAACCAGUUAAUGAAUGAAUAUACAGCCACUUUGGCUUGUCACUGAGAAAUAGAGAAACAGAAACAAGGGGGACAAU
ensembl:ncRNA F10D11.8 ncRNA